rnacentral:sRNA from 2 species
CUGUCUUUAUCGCUUAAUCCCUUUUACGGGGGAACGGGGGAACCAAUCGGACAGCCGGCUGUUAAGCGCAGCCAGCCAAUCCACGGGGUGAAUCGCCGGCUCAGCUCCAUCUGAGCAUGUCGGCGUAGGGCGACUCUUACGCCCGAAUCCGUCAGCUAACUUCGUCAGCGUACCAAGAGAGGCAAC